rnacentral:rRNA from 1 species
ACGAACGCUGGCGGCGUGCUUAACACAUGCAAGUCGAACGAAGUAGCAAUACUUAGUGGCGGACGGGUGCGUAACACGUGACUAACCUGCCCCGGACUGUGGAAUAACGGAGGGAAACUUCCGCUAAUACCGCAUGUUGAGAUUGUCUCGCAUGGGAUGAUCUUGAAAGAUUUAUUGGUCCGGGAUGGGGUCGCGGCCUAUUAGCUUGUUGGUGGGGUAAUGGCCUACCAAGGCGACGAUGGGUAGCUGGUCUGAGAGGAUGAUCAGCCACACUGGGACUGAGAUACGGCCCAGACUCCUACGGGAGGCAGCAGUGAGGAAUAUUGCGCAAUGGGCGAAAGCCUGACGCAGCAACGCCGCGUGAAGGAUGAAGGUGCUCUGCAUUGUAAACUUCUGUAGGGAGGGAAGAAAACCCACUCCGUGGGCUUGACGGUACCUCCAAAGUAAGCACCGGCUAAUUCCGU